rnacentral:rRNA from 1 species
GGAGUCUGGGCCGUAUCUCAGUCCCAAUGUGGCCGUUCAACCUCUCAGUCCGGCUACUGAUCGUCGACUUGGUGGGCCGUUACCCCGCCAACUAUCUAAUCAGACGCGAGGCCAUCUCAGAGCGAAAAAUCUUUGGCAUCAGAGCCAUGCGACCCCAAUGCAUCAUGCGGUAUUAGCAGCCGUUUCCAGCUGUUGUCCCCCUCUCCAAGGCAGGUUCCUCACGCGUUACUCACCCGUCCGCCACUUUCCUCUACUUCCAUUGUCCGAAAACUCUUUCCAUAGAUUCUCGUUCGACUUGCAUGUGUUAAGCACGCCGCCAGCGUUCGUC